rnacentral:piRNA from 1 species
UACCUGAAGUUGAAGGGCGUGGACUUGC